UAGAGCCUACCUGCCCUGGCUCUGAUCCCCACUCUCCCUGCCAGGCUCAAGACCAUCAGCCUGGUGAUCCGCAGCACUCAGGGGGCUGAGGAAGUUCUCAAGGCCCAUGAGGAACAGCUUAAGGAGGCCCAGGCUGUGCCUUCCACCCUCCCAGAGCUCGAGGCCACCAAGGCUGCACUAAAGGUACUGUGCCAGGGUUUGUGCCUCACCCGGGGGCAGGGAGAUAGCGGGGGCCCCAGCUGAAGCAGCACCCACCCCUCUUGUGCCCAGCAGAAGCUACGGACCCAGGCAGAGGCUCAGCAGCCUGUGUUUGACGCCCUGAGGGAUGAGCUGCGAGGGGCGCAGGACGUGGGUGAGCGGCUGCAGCAGCGGCAUGGUGAGCGGGACGUGGAAGUGGAGCGCUGGCGUGAGCGGGUCACCCAGCUGCUAGAGCGCUGGCAGGCAGUGCUGGCCCAGACUGACGUGCGGCAGCGUGAGCUGGAACAGCUGGGCCGCCAGCUGCGCUACUAUCGUGAGAGUGCAGACCCACUGAGCGCCUGGCUGCAGGAUGCUAAGCGGCGGCAGGAGCAGAUCCAGGCUGUGCCGAUGGCAAACAUUCAGGCUGUGCGAGAGCAACUGCGUCAGGAGAAGGUAGGCCAGGGUCUGGGAGAGGCAGGCGGUAGGGUGUGUCCUGUAGCUGUCUGUGCUGACCACCAACCCCUUUCAGGCCCUGCUGGAGGAGAUUGAGCGCCACGGUGAGAAGGUCGAGGAGUGCCAGAGGUUCGCCAAGCAGUACAUCAAUGCCAUUAAGGUGAGGCCUCCAGCCAUCUCCACCAAGACCCCCAUCCCAGGACACGCUGGCCAGGCUGGUAGACCUGGGGCUCUGGACUUGAGCCUGGGCCAUGCUGGGAAACCCUAUAGAUUGGUGUGGGGGCAGGCAUAGGCAACGAGGGCACAGCAGAUGGCCAACCAUACCAUGCCUCCCAUAGGACUAUGAGCUCCAGCUGGUCACAUACAAGGCACAGCUUGAACCAGUGGCCUCCCCAGCCAAGAAGCCCAAGGUCCAGUCUGGAUCAGAGAGUGUCAUCCAGGAGGUAGGAUGGGGGCAGGCCAAGACUAACCUAGAUGAGGACUGGGUGGGCCUUAGGGUUGGGCAGAGCUGACUGCUGUUGCCCUUCCUCCUCAGUAUGUGGACCUGCGGACACGCUACAGUGAGCUGACCACGCUUACUGGUCAGUACAUCAAGUUCGUCAGUGAGACGUUGCGGCGCAUGGAGGAGGAGGAGGUAUGGCUGGGGCUGUGUGGGCUGGGUGGGGAGGGCCCUCCUGCCCCUGUCCUGCCCCGGAUACAGCUCACAGAAACUGUCUGAGCCCACUUAGGGCAGCUGUCCUCACUCCCCUCCUGCCUGGUGCCACCCAGUGCCCCCUUCCCCUAGCUCGGCUGCCCUCACCCAGGUCCCACCUUGGCCUGGCCUGUGCUGCUCUCCAUGGUGGCUGGCGCCUCCCUUCUCCUUCACUGGCAGCUGUCCCCACCUGCAUCUGUCGGCUCUCCCGUGCAUUCUCCCUGGGCACUCUGCACUGGUUCCACUUGGCCCUUUGUUCUGGGAACAGUCAGGGGACAUUAGGUCAUGGGGGCUUGGGAGGUGUCUCUCAAGGUGCCUUGUCUGAGCAGGGUGUUCACUGUCCAGUUCCUCCCCACCUCCCAGGUGACCCAGCUGUGGGGCCCGCCUGUGGCCCUACCUCCUCUUGGCUCGGGUCUGCUGGUUUGAGAAUCCCUUUUUUUUUAACUGCCUCUGUCCAUACUACUGUCUUUACUCUGGCUCCCUCACCCUGACCCACCCCACUGGGCUUUGGGAAUGGCCUCUUGUUGGGGAGCGGGGCCCUAUGGUGGCAGCCAGGCUCUGCCAGCGUCAGGUAGAUCUCAGGCAGGACUGUGUGGUGGGUGCGGCUUGCAGGUUCUGCGAGCCUCCUGCUUUGCUCUUUCUCUCUCUCCCUGUCCGUCUGUCUCCGUCGCCUAUCUGCGGGAAGAGGGGAGGACGCCUGGGCCUCCUUCCCCAGGCUGGUGAGCACGGUGGGGCUGGCUGCGCUCGCUGCCCGAGUGCCCUGGGCGGGUGCACGCUAUCUCCUUGGCUGGGCUGGGACCUCUGUCCUCCCUGAUUCCCCCGCACCGCGCUGUCCAAGUGAACUGUGGUGGUAUCGUGUCACGUGAGUGCCCGCACCCACCCCACGCUCACGCUGUCUCUGGUUCUCUUCCUCUCUCUGCUGUGGCCACAGAGGCUGGCCGAGCAACAGCGGGCAGAGGAGCGGGAGCGACUGGCUGAGGUGGAGGCCGCAUUGGAGAAGCAGCGGCAGCUGGCUGAGGCGCAUGCCCAGGCCAAGGCACAGGCGGAGCUGGAGGCACAAGAACUACAGCGGCGCAUGCAGGAGGAGGUAGCGCGGCGGGAGGAGGCUGCAGUGGAUGCGCAGCAGCAGAAGCGUAGUGUCCAAGAGGAGCUGCAGCAUCUGCGACAGAGCUCAGAGGCAGAGCUCCAGGCCAAGGCCAGGCAAGUGGAAGCAGCUGAACGCAGCCGACUGCGCAUCGAGGAGGAGAUCCGUGUGGUGCGCCUGCAGCUAGAGACGACUGAGCGCCAGCGCAGCGGGGCUGAGGAUGAGCUGCAGGCCCUGCGUGCACGAGCAGAGGAGGCGGAAGCACAGAAGCGGCAGGCACAGGAGGAGGCUGAGCGCUUGCGGAGGCAGGUGCAGGAUGAGAGCCAGCGUAAGCGGCAAGCCGAGGCAGAACUCGCCCUGCGCGUCAAGGCUGAGGCCGAGGCUGCUCGCGAGAAGCAGCGGGCCAUGCAGGCUCUGGAGGAGCUGCGACUGCAGGCCGAGGAGGCAGAGAGGCAGCUGCGGCAGGCUGAGGCAGAGCGGGCACGCCAAGUACAGGUAGCUCUGGAGACAGCGCAGCGCAGCGCAGAGGUGGAGCUGCGGAGCAAGCGUGCUUCCUUCGCGGAGAAGACUGCGCAGUUGGAGCGCACCCUGCAGGAGGAGCAUGUGGCGGUGGCACAGCUGCGGGAAGAGGCCGAACGGCGGGCUCAGCAACAGGCUGAGGCCGAGCGGGCCCGUGAGGAAGCCGAACGGGAGCUAGAGCGCUGGCAGCUGAAAGCCAAUGAGGCACUGCGACUGCGACUGCAGGCAGAGGAGGUGGCACAGCAGAAGAGCCUGGCACAGGCCGAAGCUGAGAAGCAGAAAGAGGAAGCAGAGCGCGAGGCUCGGCGGCGCGGCAAGGCGGAGGAGCAGGCCGUGCGGCAGCGGGAGCUGGCUGAACAGGAGCUGGAGAAACAGCGGCAGCUGGCGGAAGGGACCGCGCAGCAGCGCCUGGCUGCGGAGCAGGAGCUGAUCCGCCUGCGGGCCGAGACAGAGCAGGGCGAGCAGCAGCGGCAGCUGCUGGAGGAAGAGCUGGCCCGGCUGCAGCGAGAGGCGGCUGAGGCCAACCAGAAGCGCCAGGAGCUGGAAGCUGAGCUGGCCAAGGUGCGGGCAGAGAUGGAGGUGCUGCUGGCCAGCAAGGCUCGAGCAGAGGAGGAAUCUCGGAACACCAGCGAGAAGUCCAAGCAGAGACUGGAGGCAGAGGCCGGCCGCUUCCGUGAGCUGGCCGAGGAGGCUGCUCGCCUGCGGGCCCUGGCCGAGGAGGCUAAGCGGCAGCGGCAGCUGGCCGAGGAGGACGCAGCCCGCCAGCGGGCCGAGGCAGAGCGGGUGCUUGCUGAGAAGCUGGCCGCCAUCGGCGAGGCCACGAGGCUCAAGACAGAGGCGGAGAUAGCGCUCAAGGAGAAAGAAGCCGAGAACGAGCGCCUGCGGAGGCUGGCUGAAGACGAGGCUUUCCAGCGGCGGCGGCUGGAGGAGCAGGCGGCGCAGCACAAGGCUGACAUCGAGGAGCGCCUGGCUCAGCUGCGCAAGGCAUCCGAGAGCGAGCUGGAGAGGCAGAAGGGGCUGGUGGAGGACACGCUGCGCCAGAGGCGGCAGGUGGAGGAGGAGAUCCGGGCCCUGAAGGCGAGCUUUGAGAAGGCAGCUGCUGGCAAGGCGGAGCUGGAGCUGGAGCUGGGGCGUAUCCGUAGCAACGCGGAGGACACGCUGCGCAGCAAGGAGCAGGCAGAGCUGGAGGCUGCUCGGCAGCGGCAGUUGGCAGCUGAGGAGGAGCAGCGGCGCCGUGAGGCUGAGGAGCGCGUCCAGAAAAGCCUGGCGGCUGAGGAAGAGGCCACACGGCAGCGCAAAGCCGCACUGGAGGAAGUAGAGCGGCUCAAGGCCAAGGUGGAAGAGGCCCGGCGCCUGAGGGAGCGAGCAGAACAGGAGUCUGCGCGGCAACUGCAGCUGGCCCAAGAGGCUGCCCAGAAGCGGCUGCAAGCAGAGGAGAAGGCCCAUGCCUUUGUGGUGCAGCAGCGUGAGCAGGAGCUGCAGCAGACAUUGCAGCAGGAGCAGAGUGUGCUGGAGCGACUGCGCGGCGAGGCAGAGGCCGCCCGGCGAGCCGCUGAGGAGGCUGAGGAGGCCCGGGAGCAGGCUGAGCGGGAGGCCGCGCAGUCCCGGCGGCAAGUAGAAGAGGCUGAGCGGCUCAAGCAGUCUGCAGAGGAGCAGGCGCAGGUCCGGGCUCAGGCACAGGCUGCUGCGGAGAAGCUGCGCAAGGAAGCCGAGCAGGAGGCAGCACGGCGGGCACAGGCGGAACAGGCAGCCUUGCGCCAGAAGCAGGCGGCUGACGCAGAGAUGGAGAAGCACAAGAAGUUUGCAGAGCAGACGCUGAGGCAGAAGGCCCAGGUGGAACAGGAGCUGACGACCCUGCGGCUACAGCUGGAGGAGACGGACCAUCAAAAGAGCAUCCUUGAUGAGGAGCUGCAGCGGCUGAAGGCGGAGGUGACAGAGGCAGCCCGCCAGCGCAGCCAGGUGGAGGAGGAGCUCUUCUCUGUGCGCGUGCAGAUGGAAGAGCUGGGGAAGCUCAAGGCGCGGAUCGAGGCCGAGAACCGCGCGCUCAUCCUGCGUGACAAGGACAACACACAACGNGACAGAGGCGGAGAUAGCGCUCAAGGAGAAAGAAGCCGAGAACGAGCGCCUGCGGAGGCUGGCUGAAGACGAGGCUUUCCAGCGGCGGCGGCUGGAGGAGCAGGCGGCGCAGCACAAGGCUGACAUCGAGGAGCGCCUGGCUCAGCUGCGCAAGGCAUCCGAGAGCGAGCUGGAGAGGCAGAAGGGGCUGGUGGAGGACACGCUGCGCCAGAGGCGGCAGGUGGAGGAGGAGAUCCGGGCCCUGAAGGCGAGCUUUGAGAAGGCAGCUGCUGGCAAGGCGGAGCUGGAGCUGGAGCUGGGGCGUAUCCGUAGCAACGCGGAGGACACGCUGCGCAGCAAGGAGCAGGCAGAGCUGGAGGCUGCUCGGCAGCGGCAGUUGGCAGCUGAGGAGGAGCAGCGGCGCCGUGAGGCUGAGGAGCGCGUCCAGAAAAGCCUGGCGGCUGAGGAAGAGGCCACACGGCAGCGCAAAGCCGCACUGGAGGAAGUAGAGCGGCUCAAGGCCAAGGUGGAAGAGGCCCGGCGCCUGAGGGAGCGAGCAGAACAGGAGUCUGCGCGGCAACUGCAGCUGGCCCAAGAGGCUGCCCAGAAGCGGCUGCAAGCAGAGGAGAAGGCCCAUGCCUUUGUGGUGCAGCAGCGUGAGCAGGAGCUGCAGCAGACAUUGCAGCAGGAGCAGAGUGUGCUGGAGCGACUGCGCGGCGAGGCAGAGGCCGCCCGGCGAGCCGCUGAGGAGGCUGAGGAGGCCCGGGAGCAGGCUGAGCGGGAGGCCGCGCAGUCCCGGCGGCAAGUAGAAGAGGCUGAGCGGCUCAAGCAGUCUGCAGAGGAGCAGGCGCAGGUCCGGGCUCAGGCACAGGCUGCUGCGGAGAAGCUGCGCAAGGAAGCCGAGCAGGAGGCAGCACGGCGGGCACAGGCGGAACAGGCAGCCUUGCGCCAGAAGCAGGCGGCUGACGCAGAGAUGGAGAAGCACAAGAAGUUUGCAGAGCAGACGCUGAGGCAGAAGGCCCAGGUGGAACAGGAGCUGACGACCCUGCGGCUACAGCUGGAGGAGACGGACCAUCAAAAGAGCAUCCUUGAUGAGGAGCUGCAGCGGCUGAAGGCGGAGGUGACAGAGGCAGCCCGCCAGCGCAGCCAGGUGGAGGAGGAGCUCUUCUCUGUGCGCGUGCAGAUGGAAGAGCUGGGGAAGCUCAAGGCGCGGAUCGAGGCCGAGAACCGCGCGCUCAUCCUGCGUGACAAGGACAACACACAACGCUUCCUGGAAGAGGAGGCGGAGAAGAUGAAGCAGGUGGCGGAAGAGGCUGCACGGCUGAGUGUGGCGGCCCAGGAGGCAGCACGCCUGCGGCAGCUGGCAGAAGAAGACUUGGCACAGCAGCGGGUCCUGGCAGAGAAAAUGCUCAAGGAGAAGAUGCAGGCUGUGCAGGAGGCCACACGGCUCAAGGCCGAGGCUGAGCUGCUGCAGCAACAGAAAGAGCUGGCUCAGGAGCAGGCUCGGCGGCUGCAGGAGGACAAGGAGCAGAUGGCUCAGCAGCUGGCACAGGAGACACAGGGUUUCCAGCGGACACUGGAGGCGGAGCGGCAGCGGCAGCUGGAGAUGAGUGCAGAGGCUGAGCGCCUGAAGCUGCGCGUGGCUGAGAUGAGCCGGGCCCAGGCCCGUGCCGAGGAGGAUGCCCAGCGCUUUCGGAAGCAGGCUGAGGAGAUUGGUGAGAAGCUGCACCUCACUGAGCUCGCCACACAGGAGAAGGUGACGCUGGUACAGACACUUGAGAUCCAGCGGCAGCAGAGUGACCAUGAUGCUGAGCGCCUGCGGGAGGCCAUUGCUGAGCUGGAGCGUGAGAAGGAGAAACUGAAGCAGGAGGCCAAGUUGCUGCAGCUCAAGUCCGAGGAGGUACCACCCUCCCUCCACAGAUGGGCAGGCGGGCGGUGGGGUGUGUCCUUGGGAGGGUAAGGGUGCUCCCAGGGCCCCGCCGUCCCUGACUGCUGCCUCCCCGCUCCUUGCCUCUUGCAGAUGCAGACAGUACAGCAAGAGCAGAGGCUCCAGGAGACACAGGCCUUGCAGCAGAGCUUUCUGUCCGAGAAGGACAGCCUGCUGCAGCGGGAGCGCUUCAUUGAGCAGGAAAAGGCUAAGCUGGAACAGCUUUUCCAGGACGAGGUGGCGAAGGCACAGCAGCUCCGUGAGGAGCAGCAGCGGCAGCGGCAGCAGAUGGAGCAGGAGAAGCAGCAGCUGAUGGCCAGCAUGGAGGAGGCCCGGCGUCGGCAGCGUGAGGCAGAAGAAGGUGUCCGUCGCCAGCAGGAGCAGCUGCAGCACCUGGAAGAGCAGCGGCAGAAGCAGGAGAAGCUGCUGGCUGAGGAGAACCAGAGGCUGCGGGAACGGCUGCAGCGCUUAGAGGAGGAGCAUCGGGCGGCACUAGCACACUCGGAGGAGAUUGCUGCCACGAAGGCCUUGCCCAAUGGCCGGGAGGCACCUGAUGGCCCAACUGUGGAGGUGGAGCCUGAGCACAGCUUUGAGGGUUUGCGACAGAGAGUGCCAGCCCAGCGGCUGCAGGAGGCUGGCAUCCUGAGCCCAGAGGAGCUGCAGCGGCUGGUGCAGGGCCACACCACGGCGGCCGAGCUGGCGCAGCGUAGGGAUGUGCAACAAUACCUGCAGGGCCGCAGCAGCAUUGCCGGGCUGCUGCUGAAGCCCACCAAUGAGAAGCUGAGUGUCUACACGGCCCUGCGGAGGCAGCUGCUAAGCCCUGGCACCGCUCUCAUCCUGCUUGAGGCCCAGGCAGCCUCAGGCUUCUUGCUGGACCCUGUGCGGAAUCGACGACUGACUGUGAAUGAGGCCGUGAAGGAGGGUGUUGUGGGCCCUGAGCUGCACCACAAGUUGCUGUCUGCUGAGCGGGCUGUCACUGGCUAUAAAGACCCCUACACUGGAGAGCAGAUCUCGCUCUUCCAGGCCAUGAAGAAGGACCUCAUCGUCAGGGACCACGGCAUCCGCCUGCUGGAGGCCCAGAUCGCCACGGGCGGCGUCAUCGACCCCGUGCACAGCCACCGCCUGCCCGUGGAGGUGGCCUACCAGCGCGGCUACUUUGACGAGGAGAUGAGUCGCGUGCUGGCGGACCCCAGCGACGACACCAAGGGCUUCUUCGACCCCAACACCCACGAGAACCUCACCUACCUGCAGCUGCUGGAGCGCUGUGUGGAGGACCCCGAGACGGGCCUGCGCCUCCUGCCACUCACAGAUAAGGCUGCCAAGGGUGGUGAGCUGGUGUAUACUGACUCUGAGGCCCGGGAUGUCUUUGAGAAGGCCACUGUGUCUGCACCAUUCGGCAAAUUCCAGGGCAAGACGGUGACCAUCUGGGAGAUCAUCAAUUCAGAAUACUUCACAGCGGAGCAGCGGCGUGACCUGCUGCGGCAGUUCCGCACGGGCCGCAUCACAGUGGAGAAGAUCAUCAAGAUUGUCAUCACUGUCGUAGAGGAGCACGAGCAGAAGAGCCAGCUCUGCUUUGAGGGCCUGCGUGCCCUGGUGCCUGCUGCCGAACUGCUGGAAAGUGGGAUCAUCGACCAUGACCUCUACCGUCAGCUGCAGCGGGGCGAGCGCUCUGUAAGAGAGGUGGCUGAGGCGGACUCUGUGCGGAGGGCCCUGCGGGGUGCCAGUGUCAUUGCAGGUGUGUGGCUGGAGGAGGCAGGACAGAAGCUGAGUAUCUAUGAGGCCCUGAAGAAAGACCUACUGCAGCCAGAUGUGGCUCUGGCCCUGUUAGAGGCCCAGGCCGGCACUGGGCACAUCAUUGAUCCUGCCACUAGUGCCCGGCUGACUGUGGAUGAGGCAGUACGUGCUGGUCUGGUGGGCCCUGAGCUUCAUGAGAAGCUGCUGUCGGCUGAGAAGGCUGUGACGGGCUAUAGGGACCCCUAUUCGGGGCAGAUUGCCUCCUUGUUCCAGGCUCUGAAGAAAGGCCUCAUCCCUCGGGAGCAAGGCCUGCGCCUGCUAGAUGCCCAGCUGUCCACAGGUGGCAUUGUGGACCCCAGCAAGAGCCACCGCGUGUCCCUGGAUGUUGCAUAUACCCGGGGCCAUCUGGACAAGGAGACCAGCAGGGCCCUGUUGGAACCCGGGGAGGAUGCCAAGGUCUACCUUGAUCCCAGCACACGGGAGCCAGUCACCUAUGGCCAGCUCCAGCAGCGGUGCCGGCCUGACCAGCUGACUGGGCUGAGCCUGCUGCCACUCUCAGAGAAGGCUGCCCGGGCCCAGCAGGAGGAGGUCUACUCUGAGCUUCAGGCCCGUGAGACCUUGGAGAAGGCUACGGUUGAAGUCCCCACGGGCAGCUUCAAAGGCAGGACAGUGACAGUGUGGGAGCUCAUCAGCUCUGAGUAUUUCACAGAGGAGCAGCGGCAGGAGCUGCUGCGGCAGCUCCGUACUGGCAAGGUGACUGUGGAGAAGGUCAUUAAGAUCCUCAUCACCAUCAUCGAGGAGGUAGAGACCAAGAGGCAGGAGCAACUGUCCUUCACUGGCCUCCGUGCCCCUGUGCCGGCCAGUGAGCUCUUGGCUGCCAGGAUCCUCAGCAGGGCCCAGUUUGAGCAGCUCAAGGAUGGCAGGACCUCUGUCAAGGAUCUCUUGGAGGUGGGCUCCGUGCGGAUGCUGCUACAGGGCAGUGGCUGCCUGGCUGGUAUCUACCUGGAGGACUCCAAGGAGAAAGUGACCAUCUACGAGGCCAUGCGCCGGGGUUUGCUCAGACCUAGCACGGCCACGCUCCUGCUCGAGGCCCAAGCAGCCACUGGCUUUCUGGUGGACCCGGUGCGGAACCAGCGCCUGUAUGUCCAUGAGGCAGUGAAAGCAGGUGUUGUGGGCCCUGAGCUACAUGAGAAGCUGCUGUCCGCCGAGAAGGCCGUCACCGGCUACAAGGACCCCUACUCGGGCACCACCAUCUCGCUCUUCCAGGCCAUGAAGAAGGGCCUGGUUCUCAGGGAGCAUGCCAUCCGCCUGCUGGAGGCCCAGAUUGCUACCGGAGGCAUCAUCGACCCCGUGCACAGCCACCGCCUGCCCGUGGAGGUGGCCUACCAGCGCGGCUACUUUGACGAGGAGAUGAGCCGCGUGCUGGCGGACCCCAGCGACGACACCAAGGGCUUCUUCGACCCCAACACCCACGAGAACCUCACCUACCUGCAGCUGCUGGAGCGCUGUGUGGAGGACCCCGAGACGGGCCUGCGCCUCCUGCCACUGAAGGGGGCAGAGAAGGCUGAAGUGGUGGAGACCACACAGGUGUAUACUGAGGAGGAGACCCGGAGGGCAUUCGAGGAGACUCAGAUUGACAUCCCCGGUGGUGGCAGUCAUGGUGGCUCCACCAUGUCCCUAUGGGAGGUCAUGCAGUCAGACCUGAUCCCUGAGGAUCAGCGGGCCCGGCUGAUGGCUGACUUCCAGGCUGGCCGGGUGACCAAGGAGCGCAUGAUCAUUAUCAUCAUCGAGAUCAUUGAGAAGACCGAGAUCAUCCGACAGCAAAACCUUACUUCCUAUGACUAUGUGCGCCGCCGCCUCACUGCUGAGGACCUGUAUGAGGCCCGGAUCAUCUCGCUUGAGACCUACAACCUCCUCCGGGAGGGCACCAAGAGCCUCCGUGAAGUACUGGAGGCAGAGUCUGCCUGGCGCUACCUCUAUGGCACAGGCUCGGUGGCUGGCGUUUACCUGCCUGGCUCUAGGCAGACGCUGACCAUCUACCAGGCCCUCAAGAAGGGGCUGCUAAGUGCCGAGGUGGCCCGCUUGCUGCUGGAGGCCCAGGCGGCCACCGGCUUCUUGCUGGACCCAGUGAAGGGUGAGCGACUGACUGUGGAUGAGGCUGUACGGAAGGGACUGGUGGGCCCUGAGCUGCAUGACCGGCUGCUCUCAGCAGAGCGGGCGGUGACUGGCUACCGUGACCCUUACACCGAGCAGACCAUCUCGCUCUUCCAGGCCAUGAAGAAGGAGCUGAUCCCUGCUGAGGAGGCCCUGCGGCUGCUGGACGCCCAGCUGGCUACAGGAGGUAUUGUGGACCCCCGCCUGGGCUUCCACCUACCGUUGGAGGUCGCCUACCAGCGUGGCUACCUCAACAAGGACACACACGACCAGCUGUCGGAGCCCAGCGAGGUGCGCGGCUAUGUGGACCCCUCCACCGAUGAGCGCCUCAGCUACACGCAACUGCUCAGGCGGUGUCGCCGUGACGAGAGCAGCGGCCAGAUGCUCCUGCCACUCUCAGACGCCCGCAAACUGACCUUCCGUGGCCUACGCAAGCAGAUCACCGUGGAGGAACUGGUGCGCUCACAGGUCAUGGAUGAAGCCACAGCACUGCAGCUGCAGGAGGGCCUGACCUCCAUUGAGGAGGUCACCAAGAACCUGCAGAAGUUCCUUGAGGGCACCAGUUGCAUUGCCGGUGUCUUCGUUGAUGCCACCAAGGAGCGACUCUCAGUGUACCAGGCCAUGAAGAAGGGCAUCAUUCGCCCUGGCACGGCCUUUGAGCUCCUGGAGGCACAGGCGGCCACUGGCUACGUCAUCGACCCCAUCAAGGGGCUCAAGCUGACUGUGGAGGAAGCUGUGCGCAUGGGCAUCGUGGGCCCUGAGUUCAAGGACAAGCUGCUGUCAGCUGAGCGUGCCGUCACCGGCUACAAGGACCCUUACUCUGGGAAGCUCAUCUCUCUCUUCCAAGCCAUGAAGAAGGGCCUGAUCCUGAAGGACCAUGGCAUCCGUUUGUUGGAGGCCCAGAUUGCCACAGGUGGCAUCAUCGACCCUGAGGAGAGUCAUCGGCUACCUGUGGAGGUGGCCUACAAGCGUGGCCUCUUUGAUGAGGAGAUGAAUGAGAUCCUGACUGACCCUUCGGAUGAUACCAAGGGCUUCUUUGACCCCAACACAGAGGAGAAUCUCACCUACUUGCAGCUGAUGGAACGCUGCGUCACUGACCCCCAGACAGGCCUGUGCCUCCUGCCGCUGAAGGAGAAAAAGAGAGAGCGGAAGACAUCCUCCAAGUCCUCUGUGCGCAAGCGCCGCGUUGUGAUUGUGGACCCUGAGACGGGCAAGGAGAUGUCAGUGUAUGAGGCCUACCGCAAGGGACUCAUUGACCACCAGACGUACUUGGAGCUGUCUGAGCAGGAGUGUGAGUGGGAGGAGAUUACUAUUUCCUCCUCAGAUGGUGUAGUCAAGUCCAUGAUCAUUGACCGCCGCUCAGGCCGCCAGUAUGACAUCGAUGAUGCCAUCACCAAGAACCUCAUUGACCGGUCAGCACUGGACCAGUACCGUGCCGGCACACUCUCCAUCACUGAGUUUGCUGACAUGCUCUCAGGCAAUGCCGGUGGCUUCCGAUCCCGCUCCUCCUCGGUGGGCUCGUCUUCCUCCUACCCCAUCAGCCCUGCAGUCUCCAGGACCCAGCUGGCCUCCUGGUCCGACCCCACUGAGGAGACAGGCCCGGUGGCUGGCAUCCUGGACACAGAGACGCUGGAGAAGGUGUCCAUCACAGAGGCCAUGCACCGCAACCUAGUGGACAACAUCACCGGGCAGCGGCUGCUGGAGGCCCAGGCAUGCACUGGGGGCAUUAUUGACCCCAGCACUGGGGAGCGCUUCCCUGUUACUGAGGCUGUCAACAAAGGCCUAGUAGACAAGAUCAUGGUGGACCGCAUCAACCUCGCCCAAAAGGCCUUCUGUGGCUUUGAGGACCCACGCACCAAGACCAAGAUGUCAGCUGCCCAGGCCCUGAAGAAGGGCUGGUUGUACUACGAGGCAGGCCAGCGCUUCCUGGAGGUGCAGUACCUGACAGGUGGCCUGAUUGAGCCCGACAUGCCGGGCCGAGUGCCUCUGGACGAGGCCCUGCAGCGUGGCACUGUGGACGCCCGCACAGCGCAGAAGCUGCGCGAUGUCAGCGCGUACUCCAAGUACCUCACCUGCCCUAAGACCAAGCUCAAGAUCUCCUACAAGGACGCGCUGGACCGCAGCAUGGUGGAGGAGGGCACAGGGCUGCGGCUGCUGGAGGCUUCUGCCCAGUCCAGCAAGGGCUACUACAGCCCCUACAGUGUCAGCGGCUCUGGCUCCACUGCUGGCUCGCGUACCGGCUCGCGCACCGGCUCCCGGGCUGGCUCCCGCCGCGGCAGCUUCGAUGCCACCGGUUCUGGUUUCUCCAUGACCUUCUCUUCCUCCUCCUACUCUUCCUCGGGCUAUGGCCGCCGCUAUGCCUCAGGCCCCUCCACCUCCCUGGGGGGCCCUGAGUCUGCAGUGGCCUGACCUUCUGCCUGCAUCCCACCCUCCUGCUCUGCAUGUGGCCAGGCUCCCCGCCAAGGUGCUGGGGUCUUUCUUUAAUGUUUAAAGGUGUCUUUUUCCCAAGUGGUGCCUAAAGUUUAACCAAAAAGACCAGACUAACACAUUAAUAUAUAUUUGCUGUCUAGACAGACUGUAGCUUGGGGUUUGGGGCCGGCCCAGCCCCGCUGACCACCUCACCCCCCUCGGAUCUCCCCACUUCAACCUGCCACUCACAAUAGCCAGGUGCCUUGGAGGGUCCAGAGUUGGGCCCCCAGCCCACCCCUCCUCCCGUAGGAGGUUUCUGUCUGGGUGAGACCCCCCCAGCCCUGUAAGCCAACCCCACUGGUGUGUACAUCUGCUAGUCCUAGCUGCUGAGGGCAGCCGGGGUCAGUCUUGUCAGUAGAGAUUCUCUCAGGGCUUCUACCCUGGGCCAGCAUUUCCUUCCCGGCGUGUUUCCCAGACUGGCCUUCUUGCUUGGUGGAUCGUGCUGGUGAGGAAAGGGCCCUGGGCCAGCCAUCUCUUCAGCCCAUAGAAGCCCUUUCCUCGUGGGAAGAUGAGGGUCCAGUCUGCAGAGGCAGCGUCCUUCGCUGGGCUCUAGCCUCCUGCCCAGCUCCUGAAGCUGCUGUCAGAGCUCUGCUUUGUAGCUCACUGGCCCACCCUGAGUCACUCCCAAGACCCUGGCCCGUGGCUUCAGCCUUCCAGCCUCAGCUACCCCUGUAAGUGCCUUCUGUGUCCUCCCUCAUACCCAGCCCUGAGGACCCAUGCCCAGGGUGUGAGACAGACAUUCUGGCUGGGCGGGGCUGGGGUUCUGCAGAUCUACCCUCCGCCAUGGGCUGAGUGGUAUCUUGAGCCCGUGGAACCCCUCCCUGGGUGCUGCCUGUCCACUCUGUUUCCAGGGAGCCCCAACCCUCCUUGGUCCGGGAUGCAGAGUGGCUCUAUCGACCCAGGCACCUGGCCAGUGCCACCACCCUGUUUAGCCAGCCUCAUGCAUUGGCAGCUCCCACCCUGCCUCCACCCUCUGACUGAGCUUUGCAUGUUCCACUAACCUGGGCUGGUGGCCGGUGGAGGUGCCAGGCAGAACACUAACCUGACCAUGGGCAGGGCCCUUCAGCGUCUGCCCCUCAAUAAAAGCAAUUCCAACCUUCCUAUGGACUUUGCCUUGGU
rnacentral:lncRNA from 1 species